rnacentral:rRNA from 1 species
UACGGGGGGGGCAAGCGUUGUUCGGAAUUACUGGGCGUAAAGGGCUCGUAGGCGGCCAACUAAGUCGGACGUGAAAUCCCCAGGCUCAACCUGGGAACUGCGUCCGAUACUGGAUGGCUUGAAUCCGGGAGAGGGAUGCAGAAUUCCAGGUGUAGCGGUGAAAUGCGUAGAUAUCUGGAGGAAUACCGGUGGCGAAGGCGGCAUCCUGGACCGACACUGACGCUGAGACGCGAAAGCGUGGGGAGCAAACAGG